UCGGAAACCUCUGUACAUAUUUAACAGUCUGCUGGAAGCGUUUCUGCUCUCUUUAUCCCCAUAUCUGAUAUCACCCCUUGCAGAUUUGAAACUACCAAACCUCUUUGCUCCUUCAGCUCUCUAUUUCUCUUUCUUUUAUUGCUUUGUCAAGUUCUUUAUUCCCUCUCUUGUUUUCUGUGACUCUACCUACCUACUAGUAUAUUUUAAGUAAUUUAUUAUCCCCAUAUUUCACCACCUACUUUCUUAAAUAAAGGUAUAGUCUUUUCCUGCUGUAAUUAUAUUUGGUGACUCUUUUAUUUUCUCCUUCUCUGUCUCUUCAGUUCAGUCAAUUCGGUAUGUACCAAUUUCAGAUUUAGGGUUUUGUUUUCUUCUUUGUGAAAAAAAAUCUGAUUUUUAUAUGCAUCUGUGUUGCUUUGAUUUUGAAGUAUUUUGGGUUGCUUUGAUUUCAAAUUCUUGUUGUUUUCUCCUAUUUAUUGGUUCUUGUAUUUAAACUCGCUGUUUGUGGGAAUCGCUGAAUGUUACUUUGAUUAUAUCUAUUUGUGGUUUGCAUUGUUUUCAGACUGUUAUUUGUCAUUUUCUUAGUGG
rnacentral:lncRNA from 1 species